rnacentral:lncRNA from 1 species
UUGAUUUGUUCCAACUGCAGUCUCGUGUAAUGAGCACACUUGUAUUCAUCAAAGUACUACAUAACAAAACAUAAUAUGCAUGAUUUAGUUAAAAGUAAUAAAUAAUAUGAAAUAUUCGAUAAAUAUUAAACAAAUCCUAAGUUAUAAAUCCAUACCGUGAUUGAAUCUCUAUUGAUUCAUAUUAAUGAUUUCCCUCAUAAACCUCAUUACAAAGUAUCCGCAAUCGAUACCGUUGCGCUGUAGAGGACACUACAUAGAAAAAAAUAAGAAUGUAUAGUUAUCUUUUCUUAUCAAGUAGCAUCACUAUUAUAAGCAAAAUUGUGAAAAUUAAAGUACCUGCACUUUUAUCCACGUAAUGUUGCUGGAUUUAGUACGUGGUACUGAGCUUGUCUUUUGAGAUCGGAACACUUUUAUUGAUCUAACAAAAUAAAAACAUAUAUUUAGAACAAUCUCACAUAAAUAUACACGAAUAUUAGAACAGUCUCACUUACGUAUCAACUAAUUGCUUCAUAUCCGGAUAAUUUGUCCAUUCACCCAUCUUCACGGGUCCCAAUUCAGUUCUCAUUCCCAUGUUUACCAUGUCCUUCUUAACAUUAAGGCCAUCCUUAGACUUUCNCCACAAGAAGGCAAACAUGGAGCCUUGAGCAAUUUGCUGGACUUACAUCAGCAUCGGACCAAACGACGACACUGGACCCAAAUGCCACCGAUGGACUUACAUGCAGUUCAAGGCACACAACAACCCAAAAAAAAACAGUUAGUUAGGGAGUCGGGGACUCGAGCCUAUAACUGUCAAGCACACAUCAAACAGACAGACCACAAAUUUAAGGAGGUCAGGCACCGAGCCUAGCAACUGUCAAACAACACACACAAGAAGAAAAAAGGGCGCCCGGAGCGAGAUCAGCUCAAUCUCCUGCCUUACAUACUUCAUCUGGUAUGAAGAUCAGGGCGAUGUAGUUCCCCUACGAGGGUAAAGGACUAGCCUACCAGAAUAACAGAGGGAGGACACAAACUCUAACGGAGACUACGACUCUGAGCCUAGAUGUUGUCAUGCCCCAAAAUCAACCCCUAAGUAGUUAUCUAGCUAAAUGGCCACAAGGGCCAACCUAUCCUUAAGCAUGGCUUCACAGGAGCAAGCCCACACACACACUUAACUUGGCACAGGAAGCAAGCCAGAAAACCUACUUUGCCACGGAAGCCAGUCUAAAACAUAAUCCUAACUUGCACAGGAAGCACAUCAAAACAUCCUAACUUGCACAGGAAGCAAUUGUCAAAACAUAUCCUUACAAGCACAGAUAGCCACGCCGCUAUACACAAACAAAGUGGCAUCAACAAGGUUAGGGUUUUAAGUCAGGGUCAUAUUCAACCUCGACAAACAACCUCGGAAACUGGGGUGAAUGUUUGCUCUUAACCUUGCAAUUGCAGGGGCUAAGCGUGAAGCAGCCUGAAAGGAUGAGGAGCGAUGAGACCUCCAGCUUUAUCCCUGGCCACGGGAGAGCUCAAGACCAAGAUGUGUGGUUUCAGGAAGGUGGGAACCCUUCUACACAUUUAAAACUGACUCAAUGUACAAUUGUUUACAAGAUCUGGUUUGUAUCUGCCAAUGCAUCAACACAGUGGUGUGAGCAAAGCAGAUGACACACUGAAUAGUGGGGGACAGAUUGGCAUAUCCCUACCUUCACAAUUGCCUCUUCACUUAGCGAGGUCUUUGACUCUAUGCAAGGACAAAGCAAACAGUCACAAACAUUGCCUCUUAAGGAUGACUUCAGACAGUUGCCUGGCCAAGUAACAGGCCAGGUCUUCCAGACUACAUGAAGUAAAGAGAUACCUCAAUGCCAAAUGCUUAUGCCAAAGCAAACAAAGUCAAAAGUCAAGCGAACUAAAAGCAACUAAAUACCUGAACAGUCAAACAGAUGUUAGUAUGUGAACUUCAAACAAAACAAACAGAAACAGACACCAACAGUCAAUUAGAGGCACAUGGAAGUGCAAGCAUAAGGCUUAGGGCAUGUGAGCCAAGCCACCUACAAAACAAACAAGUUAGGCAAUGAUAUUGACCAGACUCAAUCAAAAAGAAGUGGUCUCAUUGGUCAAUUGUUUGGUCAACCUGAAAACAUGAGCUCAAAGUGAGUAACAGGACACUAGGGCCAAGCCUAGGGUCAAAAAUGAAUGAGAAAGUCAAAACAGCAAAGGCAAGCAUCCAAAUCAUGUUCAAACCAUUAAGAAACACGAACACUUGGGUUCACAUCCAUAUCAAUCACUAUCAUCAUUUAAUGAACCAUUUAGGUCAAGUAUGGCAAACAGAAGCUCAUAGAAGUCAACAGCAAGACUUGCAUCAAAAGUCAACUAAAACAUUUCCAAAAAAUCACCAAAUAAAUCUAUGGUCAAUCCUAACACAUAGCAUGGUAAGCAUGUCAAUUUCACCUCAUUUGACAAGUGGAGGCAGUCAAUGAAAAUCAGAAGUCAAAGCAAUUUCUUGAACUGCUCAAUGAAGUCGAAACGCAAACAUGCAUCAACUUAGAAAAUCAUAAGCUCAGAGAUGGUGUAUGAUAAAUGAUGGAACUAAAAACCAUGGCAAAAUGAGGAUGUCUAGUUCUCUCAUGUAAAAUUCAUGUCCAUCUAAUAAAGUAUGAGAUUUCACAAAUGAAAUGGGAACAUGUGUCACACAAAGUCAACAAUUGACUAGGCAGGGGAGAAAAUCUCAAAAAAUUAGGAAAUGCCACAAAUAAUUCCAAGAAUUCACAUGUAAACUAGACAUACAGAGUAGGUUCAUGCAAAAAUUCAAUCCAUUUUGGGUUAAGAAGCAUGGUAAUGAAAAUCAUGAAGUUGGACAUCAAUGGCUUGACACAAAUUGUCACACCCUAGAUUCAAAAUUCAUAACUCACAAACCACACAAGAUAAAAUCACCAACUCUACACCAAAAUCACCAUGAGUGUGUCUAGUUUAAGCACAAAAAUUUUGGAGCCAUUGGAUACAUUCUCAUCAUUUCACAAAUGUUUUGGCAAAGUGUAGCAAAUGUGCAUACAUGUUCACACACCCUAGCACCAUUAACAAACCAACCAUCCAAAAUUCUGAAAAUAAUGAUAAAAAACUAGGGAUCAUGGGAAGGCAUAUGCAAAAAAUUCCCAUUCAAAUUGGAUUAAAAUUGAACAAGUUAUGAUUUUGGAAGUUUGAGUGGUUAUUAAAUGAAAUAAAAUUGAAAAUUAAAUGGAUUAAUGCGAAUAAUAGAAACAAUGGGGGGCUGAACGCCCCGGUCAACGCGCCACAUGGCCAAUAGCAGGACGGCAUGGCAAUUCACUUGGACAAUGCAGCGCCUCCUUUUUAAUAUAUUUUUUAUAGAAGGCGUUUAAAUAAUGAAUUGGCAUUGCGCCCCCAGUGGUAAAACACUUGGUAUUUGAAGCACAAGAGCCGGUCGGGUUCGAAUCCCCCUCGCCCCCAGGCCUUUUUGGCAUUUAUUUAGAACAAGCAAGGCACAUACAAACGCUACAGUAACAUGCUAUGCGAAAAAACAUUUAUUGCAGAAAAUGUAUUACAGUAACAUAUUGUAGAAAAAUAUAUUGCAGAAAAAACACUUACAGUAGCAGCGUUUUCAACAAUUACAACCCAAGUCGAAAUUUUUUUUUCCAAAUUCAAAAAACAGAUAUAUCAAACGUUAUCUCUAAUGCCCUCAUCAAUAUUCCAAAAUCAAUUUACCCUAAGCACGAACUAACGAGGAUGAAUCGAGCCAAAACAAGUUCACAUCAUCAAACUAUCAAUCCAACAUAACUUUCAAAAUAAAGACCAUUUUCAAUCAUUCAAAGUGCAGUGUGAUCAGCGGAAAGGUGAUCUACAAAGUGUGUGUCAUGGUUUUGCAAUGAAGAAGUUUCGAAAUUUACCAGUUGGUAUGAACAGUCGUGGUUCGGUUGUUAUUGGUAGCUUUGGCCUGGAACAGAUGCACCUUAAGCUUUGAACUGAUGGAUGCUUGAAGUACUUUGCUCACUGAUGCUUGAAUGGAAGGACACGCAUGAUGCCAUUGCUGAUGUCUCUUGUAGCAGCAGUGGAAAAGGAGUUUACAGAUGGAGGGAAGUGUGGAAUGACGUUCAAAAUGUUGUUUUGCAUCAUUGUGAACCAACAAAGCUUGCUCAUGGUCUUUUUGAGUUUUUUUUUUGACAGAGUUUGGAAAAAUGCCACAAAUGAAGUUUGAGAGCACAAGGUUUUUUCAGUUGGUUAUUGUUGGCUGCUACUUUUGUUUACAAUGGCAGAAAAUCAUCUUUGAUAUGCUGUUUGAUGUUGCUUUAGGCAAGCCAAGUUUGGUCCUUUGAGAGUUUUGCCGAUAGCUUUUGCAAAAGUGUGAAAAUGUGAUCUUUUGAGAGAAAUGAGUGAGCCAAUCUCUCUUGCUGUCAAUGUGGCGCCGCAGCUGGUUUUUGUGACAGAAAAUGAGGUAAACUUCUGUUUUUGAUGUACAGGCAUGGUCCAUGGAUUUGUGGGAUGUGGUUUUGGUUGGAUGAAAUUGUACUUUCUUUCCAAAAUAAGCAACUAGCAUGGGCUGUAUGUACUUCAUGGGAAUGGGGCUUCCAACAAGUUUUAAAUAACAUUUCUGAACAUAUUCCAAUGGCCAAAUGGUUAAAGAUGAUUAAAUCAAAAGUCAACUCUUGCGUCAAACUUGAAUUUAAAUGAGACAAGUAAAAAUGCCAUUGCAUUGGUGAAGUUUUGGCUUAUGAAAUUUAUAUUUUUGAAAGGGGACAAUGUGACUUGUAGGAAAAACCCCACCCAAUUGGCCAAACGGUUUGAGAGAUAUGGCCUUUUGAAGUUCAAGAAUUAUCUGAAGUCGAUUCGAUCAUAACUUGCCAACCACACAUGGAAUUAAGAGUUCUUGGACUUUGGAAAUGGAGAACAAGAAUCUUCAACUUAUUCAUGUGGCAAAAAUUCAUUUGAAGCUUGUAUUCAUGAUGUAAGUUGAGGAUCAAGACUUUCCAUUUUUGGUAAGUUUCAGUUACAGGUCCAGUUUCCAUUUUUGGAAAUUUUUAUUUUGAUCUGCUUCAAUUCUUCCAUGAUGGUGUUUGACAUGAUAUAUGAAGGCUAUUUGGCCAUGAAUGAGCUCUCACAACCAAUUUCCAUCAUCAAAUCACUGAUUAAAUGGACAGUUGACCAACAGUUGACUUUUAGGGUUUCUGACUGUCUGCUCAUUGACUGAUGACUUCCAAACCCUAUCCUGAGAACUUGACCUCAAAUGAUGUCCCAAGUUGUUAACUUCUUGAUUAUUGAUCAUGGUGCCAAAUUCCGCAAGAAUGGCCACCAUCCACUGCCUGACUAACUGUUGACUUUCUUUGACUUUUGCUGUCUUAUAUGAACUGAUGACCUCUGAGCCUUCAACCCUUGACUUGAACACUUCAAAUGGACCUCCAAGUUCAUCUGAACUGUUGGACAAGCCCUAAGGCUGGCUCAAUGAAUGAUGUGCUUGCCUUGCUUGAUUGACUUGAUCUCCUGACCAGUUUGACCUAAUUUCUUGCUUGGCUUGCAACUUGAGGCAAAGAGGCAAUGCAAUGCUAUGCAAUGGACCAUGAUAUGCUAUGACUAAUGAAAAUGUAUGUACAAUGACAGGUGCAAAUUUGAGGGUGCUACAAUAGGUGAUUAAUUUUGUAUGAAAUUAUGUGUUUUACUAGCACCAACACCUAAAAUAAAAGUUUGUUAUUACAUUUGUUAUUUUUUAAAAUUAUUAUCAGUGUCGCUGUAAGAGUGUAUUUAGUAUGUAUGUAUUAGUAAGUGCUACCGUUUGGCAAAUGGUUAUAGCCAUUAGAGAAAACAUAUUGUUUUUCAUAAUAUGUGCUGAAUGGUUUUGGUUUUGGUCAUGUUUAGAGGUGAAUGUGAGCUGCAUUUGUUUAUUUUUGCAUUAAAAUUUCAUGGUGAUUGGAGUUUGUUUAAACCAAACGGAUUUUCUGUAGGAUGUAUUUGUCGAGGCUUCUUUCGAACACGAUUUGCCUACGGUGCUCUGCGAAUGACUUCCUAUGGAUUCCUUUUCUAUGGUCCUGGUUCUUUCUGCCUGGUACCAGUUGCUUGAUCAUUGUCUCCCUAAACCAAAUGUCCAACCUAAUGCUAAAAGUAUUGUAUUUAUGCAUUGUAGAAGCAUGCCAGUAGUAAGGAUAGUCACAGCUUCUAAUUUCUCUUCUUUUUUAUCUUUCUUUUGACAGGUUUACUAAACCAGAUUGUGUUGGGUCCGGUGUCAUUGCGGUUGUCUUUGCGUGGAACAAUUUAUGCAACAGAAGCUCUCAGAGCUUCCAGAAAAUACAGAAGAGAUGCUCUGCCAGCUUUACUUUAUGGUAUAAACAAAUCUCAUUGCCUAAUUGUUACUCUGAGUUACUGAUAUGCAUAUUUCUAAUACCUUCUGUGAAAUUUUCUGUUCAGGGUUUAGAUUUUGGGCUCCUGUCGAUGUGUUAAACUCUGGUACGUAUUCACAUGCAUGAUUUAGCAUUCAAUUAUCUACUAAUUAUUCUAGUUAUUUGGGUUUGAAUUGCUUAGACAUUGAUGAGUCUUACAUGCACUGAAACAAUCGGAAAAGAAGAUCUGGAACAUAUUUUUCGGCAUCAAGAAUUAGCGUCGGUGUUAUAACACACAUACAUCCGGUAAUCCGAUCUAUAUAUUAUUUAAUUACUUGAACAAUUUAUUUACACAUUUCAUAAAAAAUAGUCUAAUGUUUAUUAUGUUUUUAUUUAAGGUUCUUGUAUGACAAUUUCAUGCGCGGGAAUGAUCAAUUGUCAAACAGAUUCCGUUUUUUCGUGUCUUCUCCCUGGUCAACAAAGCAUAAUUGUAGGGAACCGGAUUCAUGUAGAGAGUACUUAGUCAAGAGAUUCAUGGCCAGCAGUACAAACACUUGUAUCUUUGGCCGUAUAAUUCAGGGUUAGAUUUUAAUUCUAAGUUUAUUCUAAUCUUUAUUGUUUCUUUUACAUAAAAAAUUCCAUAUUAACUUUUGUUUUAAUUUAUAGGUGUCACUGGUUGUUGCUUGCUAUUGAUCCUUUAAAAGAAGUGGUAUAUUUUCUGAAUCGAUAGAUGGUGAAUGGACAAAUUAUCCGGAUAUGAAGCAAUUAGUUGAUACGUAAGUGAGGACUGUUCUAAAUUUUCGUGUAUAUUUAUGUGAGAUUGUUCUAAAUAUAUGUUUUUAUUUGUUAGAUCAAUAAAAGUGUUCCGAUCUCAAAGACAAGCUCGAGUACCACGUACUAAAUCCAGCAACAUUACGUGGAUAAAAGUGCAGGUACUUUAAUUUUCACAAUUUUGCUUAUAAUAGUGAUGCUACUUGAUAAGAAAAGAUAACUAUAAUUCUUAUUUUUUUUUUCUAUGUAGUGUCCUCUACAGCGCAACGGUAUCGAUUGCGGUACUUUGUAAUGAGGUUUAUGAGGGAAAUCAUUAAUAUGAAUCAAAUAGAGAUUCUCAAUCACGGUAUGGAUUUAUAACUUAGGAUUUGUUUUAAUAUUUAUCGAAUAUUUCAUAUUAUUUAUUACUUUUAACUAAAUCAUGCAUAUUAUGUUUUGUUAUGUAGUACUUUGAUGAAUACAAGUGUGCUCAUUACACGAGACUGCAGUUGGAACAAAUCAAGAGGAAUUGUGUCAAUAUUUUAUUGAGAAAAGAUUAAUUAGUAUAUAAUGGUUUCAAAAUAACAUGAAUACUUUGAUGAAGAAUGGUUUCUGGUUGGCAAGUGUUAUGUUUUUUAUAUUUUUUACAGAUUAGUUAUGACUCCAAAUAGGCGUAUAACAUAUUAGUUUUGACUUGUGUAUAGUUUUUAUAAUUUUAGUGAUAUCUUUAAUUUCAUGGAUAGAUUAAUGUGUUCAUUCUUGUGUUGGUUUGCUUUAAAAAUUACAAUGCUUGAAUUAUGACUCCAAAUGUGUUCAGUGCCUAUCUAUCCUUGUGUUGGUUUGCUUGAAUUAUGACUCCAAAUGUGUUCAUUCUUGUGUUGGUUUGCUUGUGUUGGCUUAAAAAAUUACAAAUGCUUGAAUUAUGACUCCAAAUGCUUGAAUUAGAGAGGCUUGAUUUACAGGUUUAUGGGAUUAUUCCCAAAAAAUAUUACAGGUUGAAAUGGUAGGCUUAAACUGAAGGCAGCGUUUUGUUAUUUUACUAGAGGAAAAGACAGCGCUUUUAUGUUAAAAAGCGCUGCUAAAGGUUGUCAAUAGAGAGCGCUUUUUACUAAAAAGCGCUGCUAAAGGUUGUCAAUAGAGAGGCUUUUUAUAAAAAGCGUGCCAUAUUAUAAGCAAAAUUGUGAAAAUUAAAGUACCUGCACUUUUAUCCACGUAAUGUUGCUGGAUUUAGUACGUGGUACUCGAGCUUGUCUUUGAGAUCGGAACACUUUUAUUGAU